rnacentral:lncRNA from 1 species
GGCUAUAGACAAAAUAUUUGAAAACUACUAGCCAGAAUUUUUCUAAUUUUAUGAACUAUGUUGAACCCAUGCCCAAGAAUUUCGAGAAUUUUUUUUUUUUUUUUUUUUUUUUGCUAGCAAAUAGCCAAUUGUGAAGGAUCUACUUUUCUCAGUUUUUAGUUCCAAAGUCCCAUCAAUCAUACCAGUCCUGAGGGGAAAAAGCAUCGUGUGUACACUAACAUUUUCAAGCCCAAAGCUGUGUUGUUGCUCUCUCUAGCAGUACCAUCUGCUCUGAGCCAACUUGAAAGCCAAGGGACUCCAGUAAACCUUCACGUCAAAAACUUCCCACUAUGCAAGGAAAUCAUCAUAAAGGAUCUGUGUGAAAUGUGAGCCACAUACUUCAAAAAGAAGGCAGCAAUGUUUGGAAUAACACCAUAGAAUUCAAACAGAGAGCCUAUUACGAAAUUCACAAAGAAACAGCUAGACCAGGAGGUGGCACAAUCUAAAGAAAACUGCAAAAAUUAAAGGAGUAUAAAAAAGAAAA